rnacentral:rRNA from 1 species
CAGCAGCCACGGGAAUACGUAGGUGGCAAGCGUCGUCCGGAAUUAUUGGGCGUAAAGGGCUCGCAGGCGGUUUCUUAAGUCUGAUGUGAAAGCCCCCGGCUCAACCGGGGAGGGUCAUUGGAAACUGGGAAACUUGAGUGCAGAAGAGGAGAGUGGAAUUCCACGUGUAGCGGUGAAAUGCGUAGAGAUGUGGAGGAACACCAGUGGCGAAGGCGACUCUCUGGUCUGUAACUGACGCUGAGGAGCGAAAGCGUGGGGAGCGAACAGGAUUAGAUACCCCUGUAGUCCCUGUCUCUUAUAC